rnacentral:tRNA from 1 species
UACAUACUAGCCAAAUGGUAAGGCACUUGACUUAAGAUCAAGCAAUUACGGGUUCCAAUCCCGUGUGUG